CGUCUCGCUUUCCGGCGAGGCAAAAAACGUGGUAGGGGAACCGACUUGACUAAAUGUGCUGAAAAACCAUGCUUGGAUCACUUGGCUAUCUGGAUUCAGCGGCUGUACAUCGUGUGUUCUCUGAGUUCUUGAUGUGCAGACUGUCAGUUCUAACGACUAUGGAGUUGAAAAUGGGUAGUGUGGGUUGUUUUCCAGAUGUGAAUUGCAAUCUAGGAAUACCUUGUUCUUCACUUUGUAUCUUCGUUGACUAGCAAAUGGAACUUGUACUUGGAACAAAGUAAGAGCUGACCAGAUAACAAUAGUUUCUGGAGUUCGUUCUUAUGGGAUCGAAAGGUUUCCUUGCAUCCUUCAGUUACUAUCGCGUGGAGAGAUCACAUUGUGGUUUCUUUUCAUGAGGGGGUGAUAGUCGUUCAUCCAUUUCAAUCGGUUCGCUUGCGUUUGAAGCUUCGAUCAGGGUCUGUCCAGGGGAAAUUUGCUUUGUAGGACUUCCGACACCGUUUCGCGCAGGUAAUUACAUGUUUCGGUUCUGUUCGCCUGCACCCCGAUCGCCACGCGUCCUUCCUAUACAAUGGGAAGAGAUGUGCCUGAAUUCCGAAAGGGGGAAAUUAGAUAGCAACGUACGAAGCAAUCGAGGUCAUCUUGUCUUGGUUGUGUGUUUAACGAUGGUAUCGGUCACUGGUGUUCUGUUGGAUUCCGUAAUUGAGGUGUUGGAUACGUCGCCCACUUGAUGGCCUGGUUGUGGCAGGAAUUGGCUGUUCAUGCAGUGCAUUGGUUUUGCUUAUUUUCGGCGAAUUUGGCUGUGACACUUUUUCGUUUAGAUUGUACAUUUCGUCGGCUGACUUUGGUCAGUACAUCGUGCGGGUUUUUUGGUGUUAUUUUCUGUACUCAAAGCCUCAAAAUAUACAUGUAAAGAAUGAAAUUUAUAGAAAUGGUUUUGGUCAACCAUGUAAGAUUUUUCUGCAACUGUCGAUUUCAUUUUAAAGACAAUUUUAAUUGUAGUAGUUGCAGAUUUUAUAUGUGUGCUUAUGGAAUACAUAUUGAAUUUUUAUAUAUA